UCCCUGGUGGUCCAGUGGCUAGGACUCUGUGCUCCCAAUGCAUGGGGCCCGGGUUCGAUCCCUGGUCAGGGAA
rnacentral:tRNA from 1 species